rnacentral:lncRNA from 10 species
AGAAAUUGGACUCUGAAAUUUAGGAAAGGGUUAUAUAAGAAAAUGCCCUUGAGAAACUUAAGCCGUGGAUUCCCUUGAAUCCCCUGGUCCUGCAAAAGUAGACCAUCACUCCUGUUAGAGGACAGCAUCCUCUCCCAUCUCAUCCUUGCUUGAAGACUAUGCAGAUGCCUCAAGUGAGGCAAGGUUGCUCAUGAGACAAUGUUCAUCCUCUGCAGGAUUUGCCCUAUUGUCCCCUCCUGGCCAUUAGAUCAAUCAAGACGGUCAACUAACAACAUGGCACAACACGGAAAAGCCGAGUCUGCUAAGAAGGGAGAAAAAUUACGUGUUGAAGAACCCACAGAACCUAAUUAUCAUCCACCAACAGGAACCAGGAGAGUAGCCCCAUGAUUGGAUCUCCGGGAUGCCAGAUCAUGAGUGAAGCAACAGCUCCAUAUGUUGAUGUGAACUGUGACUCCAGGAGAACGGUGGAAAAGUGUCUUGAUCCAGGAAGGAAGGGGUAUAGAGAAAAUAUGAGUCUCACCACACUAGAAGCAACAUAUGCAAAAUCCAUCAAACACACCAUAAAAUCAAUGUGGGAGUAACAACACCUUGGCCUACUGCUCCCUGAAAAGUUUUUCUCUCGUCAAGUGAUGACAGGCGUACAUUUGUAAAUAAAUUACCAAGUUGCUUUUGAUUUGAUGGAGAAGGAAGAAAAGGAUUGUCUCCUGGAAGUAUUUUUAUUGUCUUAAUAGGUAGGAUAAUAUCUCUGUUCAGCAAACUGAGAUCUUUUGAGAAUCUUAACAAAUGUAUACCCCUCCCUCUCACCUUUUCCUCUCUGGUGUAUUUCAUAGGCAGCUUUGCUAACUGACUGCACUACUACAAAUAGAUUCUGUCACUUUAGAAAUAGGAUUUUUCCUUUUAUAGGCAGAUUGAUGGACUAAGUGUCAAGGUUUUAGAACAGUAGCAUGACUGGGGCAGACACUAUAAACCAUAAAUCCAGUAUUGACAAAUGUUCUAGCCAAUCCAGAUUUUCUAUUUGUUAAAUUGCCUUUAUGAAGUCAUACUUGUGCAGCACAGAAUAUGGAAAAUAAUUGACAAGUUCUGAGAAGCCAGUUACUGAGCUCAUAGUUUAAUAAAGAAAAUGUUAAUGAACACUUGAGUAUUAUAAAUUGUUAUAAGAAGAUUCUCUCUUCAUUGUUUGCCAAAGUAUGCUAAUAAUUCUUGACUGACUAAUAAGCAGAGGUCAUUCUAGAUCUACAGAUUUUGAAAGUUGGAACUUUUUAUUUGUACCUUUUGUUUCACUUGUCAAAGUGAGCUAGUAACAUAGAAUAAACUAUAAAAAAUAUGUAACAGAAUCAUAGCUUGAAAAACAUCUUCUUAGAAUUCAAAUUUAAUAUAAAUAUUUUAAGAAAAUUAUAUUUAUGCCAUUGUAAAAACAUUACUUGGGGACUCCCUAAAAAAAGGUAAUAAGGUAUCUCUCAAAAAAGCAUCAGAAUCAAAGAAUAUCCAGCAGCCAACAAUUCUCAUUUUAUAACCCUAAUUCCAAUAUUUGCACUAGAACAUCGGUUGUCCUUAUCCACGCUUCUGCACAGCAAAAGAAACUACCAUCAGGGUGAACAGGCAACCUACAGAAUGGAAGAAAAUUUUUGCCAUCUACUCAUCUGACAAAGGGCUAAUAUCCAGAAUCUACAAAGAACUCAAACAAAU